GUGCCUAAUACAUGCAAGUAGAACGCUGAGGUCUGGUGCUUGCACUAGACCAAGGAGUUGCGAACGGGUGAGUAACGCGUAGGUAACCUACCUCAUAGCGGGGGAUAACUAUUGGAAACGAUAGCUAAUACCGCAUGAGACUGGGGUUCACAUGAACCCGAGUUAAAAGGAGCAAAAGCUUCACUAUGAGAUGGACCUGCGUUGUAUUAGCUAGUUGGUGAGGUAAAGGCUCACCAAGGCGACGAUACAUAGCCGACCUGAGAGGGUGAUCGGCCACACUGGGACUGAGACACGGCCCAGACUCCUACGGGAGGCAGCAGUAGGGAAUCUUCGGCAAUGGGGGGAACCCUGACCGAGCAACGCCGCGUGAGUGAAGAAGGUUUUCGGAUCGUAAAGCUCUGUUGUUAGAGAAGAACGGUAAUGGGAGUGGAAAAUCCAUUAUUUGACGGUAACUAACCAGA
rnacentral:rRNA from 1 species